rnacentral:tRNA from 1 species
GGAUAAGUGGUCGAGUGGUUUAUGGCACCAGUUUUGAAAGCUGACGUAGUUUGUAAGCUACCGUGGGUUCGAAUCCCUCCUUGUCCU